CCCAAGGGGCGCUGGUGCAUACCGGCUGAGAUCAAGCGAAUGGCCGCUUGUGUCCCUCACACCUGAUCCGGGUAAUGCCGGCGUAGGAAUGCGAUCAUA
rnacentral:ncRNA from 1 species